rnacentral:tRNA from 1 species
AUUUAGAUAGCUUAAGUUUAGAGCAUAAUAUUGAAGCUAUUAUGGUGAUUUUUAAUCUUUAAAUA